CUGGUCCAUACAAAAACAGAAAACGUUUUUCUACUUCUAAAUAUUUUCCUAUCUCCGUGAUUGUUUAGUAUGUUAUUGACACAAUGAAAAACUAGGUUUAUAGGUUAUCCUUUUUUUUCAAAAUUUACAAAAAAAACAAUACAAAUAAAAAGCGAAACCUAUAAACCUAGAAUAUAUUAUGCUGAAGCGAUCGACAUCAAAAUCAAAGUGAUUUGUUAAGAUUUAGU